AUUGAACGCUGGCGGCAGGCCUAACACAUGCAAGUCGAGCGGUAGCACAAGGGAGCUUGCUCCCUGGGUGACGAGCGGCGGACGGGUGAGUAAUGUCUGGGAAACUGCCUGAUGGAGGGGGAUAACUACUGGAAACGGUAGCUAAUACCGCAUAACGUCGCAAGACCAAAGAGGGGGACCUUCGGGCCUCUUGCCAUCGGAUGUGCCCAGAUGGGAUUAGCUAGUAGGUGGGGUAAAGGCCCACCUAGGCGACGAUCCCUAGCUGGACUGAGAGGAUGACCAGCCACACUGGGACUGAGACACGGUCCAGACUCCGACGGGAGGCAGCAGUGGGGAAUAUUGCACAAUGGGCGCAAGCCUGAUGCAGCCAUGCCGCGUGUAUGAAGAAGGCCUUCGGGUUGUAAGGUACUUUCAGCGGGGAGGAAGGGGAAGUGGUUAAUAACCAUUUUCAUUGACGUUACCCGCAGAAGAAGCACCGGCUAACUACGUGCCAGCCGCCGCGGUAACAC
rnacentral:rRNA from 1 species